rnacentral:ncRNA from 1 species
AUGCCUAGCGCUCAUCAUCUUCACCUCCCUGUUGGACUUAGCCGGGCCAUCGUGCCCGGCUUUUUUU